rnacentral:lncRNA from 1 species
CUUCAAAUCUCCUACUGACCUGCAGACCCUGCAACGAAUUGUAAAUAUUAAAAUAACUUUUGAUAUCUAAUACCCAGAUAGUAGAACAUAAAUUGAGAAAUUAUAAGGUGUUAUCAUAUAAUUACCUUGUGUAGCAACAACUUGCUUUUUUCUUGGCCUAUUUGAAUCCAAGGAGGCAAUAUACUGAAGAUAAUUUUUUUUUCCAGUGCCCCUUCUUCUUGUAAUAGAAGCAUUUCGCCUGACU